GCGUCUGUAGCCUAGUUGGUAAAGGCAGCACUCUAGUAUGUGUCUCAGCAUAGCUGAGGUCGUGAGUUCGACUCUCACCAGACAAA
rnacentral:tRNA from 1 species